GACGAACGCUGGCGGCGUGCUUAACACAUGCAAGUCGAACGGAAAGUGCUCUUCGGAGUGACUCGAGUGGCGAACGGGUGAGUAACACGUGGGUGAUCUGCCCUGCACUUUGGGAUAAGCCUGGGAAACUGGGUCUAAUACCGAAUAGGACUCCGGAUCGCAUGGUCUGGGGUGGAAAGCUUUUGCGGUGUGGGAUGGGCCCGCGGCCUAUCAGCUUGUUGGUGGGGUGAUGGCCUACCAAGGCGACGACGGGUAGCCGGCCUGAGAGGGUGUCCGGCCAAACUGGGACGGAGAUACGGCCCAGACUCCUACGGGAGGCAGCAGUGGGGAAUAUUGCACAAUGGGCGCAAGCCUGAUGCAGCGACGCCGCGUGAGGGAUGACGGCCUUCGGGUUGUAAACCUCUUUCACCAGGGACGAAGCGUAAGUGACGGUACCUGGAGAAGAAGCACCGGCCAACUACGUGCCAGCCGCCGCCGUAA
rnacentral:rRNA from 1 species